rfam:Triticum aestivum genome assembly, contig: Triticum_aestivum_CS42_TGACv1_scaffold_149824_2BS
UCGACCUUACUUGAACAGGAUCUGUUCUAUAGCUCGUACUGCUGCAUCCUUUCCCAAUAAGGAGGCAAACACUUCAGUCUGGUUGAUGUACUCUGACCUCUGGGCCAGAGCGUGAUUAACGGCUAGGAUUGCUCUACUGUUCGCAAAUUUAGCAGGAUCUGAAUUUCGGGAAGCGUGCGAGGCGGAGGAGGCCGCGGUACUCGGAUGGGAU